CAGGCAGCACCGCCCGUGUGCUCUACGCCAGGACCACAAAACGAGCGCGCCCUCCCUCCGCACAGCUUUACACCCGUUGCUCUCGGGACGACCGGAAAGGGCACACGCUGGAGGAACACCUUCACACGGAAAGAGACGUUUAACCGGCUGUUUCCAUCCAGCGGGACGAUGUUUAAGAGGAGCAGGAACGUGCAGUACCUCCUGAGUCUGGUCCCGGGCAAGCAGCGCCUCGGGCCGUACCGGUUCCUCCCGCUCUUCUUCUGCAUGGGGGGCGCGAUGGAGUGGAUCAUGAUCAACGUGAGGAUCGGAAGGGAGACUUUCUAUGACGUCUACCGAAGAAAACAAUCGGAGCGAGGUUACCAGCAGAAGUUAGACGACGGUUCGGUGGAUCUUAUUGAGCCUGCAGCCAAGUGAGCGGAGGACUGAGGACCGAGGACACGGUCUUAGGACUGUUCUUAGGACUGAGGCCACGGUCUGGGACUAAGGCCACGGUCUGGGACUAAGGCCACGGUCUGGGACUAAGGCCACGGUCUGGGACUAAGGCCACGGUCUGGGACUAAGGCCACGGUCUGGGACUCCUGCGCUCUCCCACGUGUUUCCUCCAGGCCGACCGCCCCCCAUGAGGCAUCAGAAUGAUGAAGGAGACGAGAGUCUGAGGAGAGUGAACCACGUGAAGAGACUCUGGGAGUUGGGGCACCGCGGUCAGCUCGUCGUUCCCGAGAGGACAGCAUCCACGGCAGCAUCACGGAGGUCACAACUAAAGUCCUCAAAUGCACCAUUGUGUCUGGUGAGGAGAGAGGAGACGGGAGAGAGCGACCAGGUUCUGUGAGCCGAGGAGGUUCUCUUCUUCUUUUAUUGAAGCCUGCCGGCCUGCUGCCGAGUCAAAAGAGGAAACGGGACUUUAACUCAACACGUGCUGCGUUUGAGGUCGGCCGGAAUCUAAAGAGGCUUUAUUGUUUGUGUUUUUUAAAUAAAUGGGACAGAACAAAUGCAUGAAGGUA